GUGAGAUCUGCAGCACAGAAGCACAAUAUUACUCCUCGUCCAGCAUCACUUGUGGAGUUUUCUGUUGAAACAAGGAAAAUAAGUCUCACUCAACAAGUCCAGCAAACACACAAUCCUUAAUCCCCAUCCAAACAGUUAGAAUGUGAAGAAACCCAACAAGGAUCACACUGCUGCUGCUUGACCUCACACAAAAAUACCUGCAUCUGUAUUACACCAAUAAAAUAGCAUUCUACAAAAAGCUUGAGCAAGCUUUUAAAGAAAAAGAUUACAGCAUCAGUAAUGAAAAAUUGAGAAAAAAGACCGGUGUCGAGCAACAGGAGAGGGACAAGUAACUUGGGAGUAUUACAAGCAAAUGGAAGACUUAUUUGGGAAAUCCCCAGACUACAGCUCCGCAGCCCUCAGCAGCACCAGCAUCAAGCUCCCAAGAACAGCCUCUCCCAGAAGAGCAACCUGGUCCCUCCACAGAAGCACACAGAAGGAGAAUAAGAUCAACAUUAUAUGAAGUUCUUGAGGCACAUUCAGAAAGGAGAACAGCUGCUUUAGAGUCACUACUGUGGCCCGACUUGGAGCGCCGAAGAAGGCUUAAAGAGAAACGUAGAAGGGUUUCUGUUGUGGAACAAAAAUUGUAAGCCAACUAACUAGCUGGAAGUCAUGAAAGCUCGAUACGUGUUUUUGUUCAAAAUAAACCAAAACAACAGCACAACAAUUAUUGUCAGGCCCGUAAUCAAUCACUUUAUGAGAGAUUUGUGUAUGUGUUGUGUAUGCUACACAGUAUUGUGCUCUCAAAAAUGUCAA